UCAGGUUCCCACUUCAUAGCGUCCUUCAUAUGUUCGAAGCAUGGAAAGCCCAUAUCAGAUCUGAUUUCGUCGUAAACCGGACAGUCCAGCAAAAUGUGUUUCUCAUCCUCGAUGUGGCUAUCAGUGCCGCAGCAAGGGCAUACUCGCUCCUCCCUAGGUAUAUAACGCCGUCCCUUACGCGCUCUGUUAGCCGCCAGUGCCCAACAGCAAAG
rnacentral:lncRNA from 1 species